CUCGGCAUGUUCCUGCCGAUUCCUACGUGAGCGUGCUACCAUUGCGCUGAUGAUGGGGUGCGAAGCCUCACGGACAAUGUACCGAAUUGGAUCGAAAUGGUGACAUGAAGAUCCUUCAGGGAAGCCUCCCCUGUUAAGGGC
rfam:Candidatus Magnetomorum sp. HK-1 HK1c1064, whole genome shotgun sequence.